rnacentral:rRNA from 1 species
GGCAUCUGAUGAGUUCUUCGGGCCACCUCCCACCCUUGUAUACUGUACCAAGUUGCUUCGGCGGGCCCGCCGUUCGCGCGGCCGCCGGGGGGGAACCCCUCCCCCCGGGCGAGCGCCCGCCGGAGACCCCAACGUGAACACUGUCUGAAGUUUUGUCGUCUGAGUUCGAUUGUAUCGCAAUCAGUUAAAACUUUCAACAAUGGAUCUCUUGGUUCCGGCAUCGAUGAAGAACGCAGCGAAAUGCGAUAAUUAAUGUGAAUUGCAGAAUUCAGUGAAUCAUCGAGUCUUUGAACGCACAUUGCACCCCCUGGUAUUCCGGGGGGUAUGCCUGUCCGAGCGUCAUUGCUGCCCUCAAGCCCGGCUUGUGUGUUGGGUCCUCGUCCCCCCCGGGGGACGGGCCCGAAAGGCAGCGGCGGCACCGCGUCCGGUCCUCGAGCGUAUGGGGCUUUGUCACACCGCUCUCGUAGGCCCGGCCGGCGCUGGCCGACGCUGAAAAGCAACCAUUAUUUCUCCAGGUUGACCUCGGAUCAGGUAGGGAUACCCGCUGAACUUAAGCAUAUCAAUAAGUCGGAGGAA